AUGGAAUUUGUUGAUCUAAAGAUGGAUUGGACUAAUGGUUACAUCACCAGAGCACCAGAUAGUAAAGUAUGGGAUGUUGUUCAGGUAUCUGGCAAGAACGUGAUGCAAACAUCAUCAGUUGUCACAACUUCAGUUGUAACGCACAGGUACGGUGGCCAAGCAGGAGAGAUAACACAAGACUACCUCCAUGCCACCGUCGCGCAGACGAUCGUCCAGGUGAUUGUGACGCCGGAGAUCGCCGAGGUGGAGGACCUCAACGCGAACGCCGCCGUCCGGGAGGAGGGAGGGCUCGGGUCCACCGGAGUUUCAACUCUAAGGCUUGAAUGGCUAUGCACUCAAAUGAUCGAGUUAAAACAACUCAAGAUGGAGACUCUAAGAGGUGAGCUACAUGUGUUUGGAGAGAAGUGCGGUGCAGUACUCAUAACUGACAAGCAUGAGAACACGUACACUUUCGACCUUGAGACCAGGAAGAUGGAGGAGGUGGUGGCUUGGCCUCACGGGCAAACAAUCUUCCCAUGGAAUGUGAUGCCCUUGGAGAUUGAUUGGCCUGCGAUCUUCGUUUCUCGGCUUACCAGCUAG
rnacentral:rRNA from 1 species